AGAUGAUGAAGAAAGGGGAACAGAGAAUCAUUAAAAUCCCAGUUAGUGAACAUGAUUGAUGCAAAUAUCCUUACACCUUGUCUCCUUUGCAGGCGACUUCCAGGAAGGGUUCAGGCGCCCUCACUGGGGAACUACAUUCUCUGAACAGGACUUUGUAGAUGCCGAUGCUGUCUAAAUGGAUUACAAAGCUUUGUGAAUGAUAUAAUCUAUCCUUUACGGAUCUCCCAACAGAAUUGCCAAAUAUUGGAGCAAAAUAUAUGUAUGUUUCAUAUCAA